GAUGAAGAACGCAGCCAAAUGCGAUAAGUAGUGUGAAUUGCAGAAUUCAGUGAAUCAUCGAAUCUUUGAACGCACAUUGCGCCCCUUGGUAUUCCAUGGGGCAUGCCUGUUCGAGCGUCAUUUGUACCUUCAAGCUCUGCUUGGUGUUGGGUGUUUGUCUCGCCUCUGCGUGUAGACUCGCCUUAAAACAAUUGGCAGCCGGCGUAUUGAUUUCGGAGCGCAGUACAUCUCGCGCUUUGCACUCAUAACGACGACGUCCAAAAGUACAUUUUUACACUCUUGACCUCGGAUCAGGUAGGGAUACCCGCUGAACUUAAGCAUAUCAAUAAGCGGAGGA
rnacentral:misc_RNA from 1 species